AGAAGAGAAGAGUUUUGUUGAUUUUGUUGUCUGAAUUUCUUUUAAGUUAUUCAUCAUUUUGGUGCAGUGAUAUUUAUGGUGAUCUUAUUUUUGUGUCACAAGUAAAGAUAAUGACAGCCUGGGCAUUCGAGUGGUCAGCCCGCAUUCGCUGGUGAGCCUAAGAAACGUUGCCUCAACCUGCACCAGAUUGGUGCAGUGAUAGUUGGACCAGGCGUAUAAACACUUGUUUUGCCCACAGCUGCCACAGGGCAUGAUAUACUGUUGAAAAGGUUGUGCCAAAUUAACGUGGAAUAACAACUGCGAAGGGUAAAUUUGC
rnacentral:lncRNA from 1 species